AGCCUUUCAACGGUUAAUAAGCUUCAUUUUAUUUGUCCAGAUCCUUUAAGAGAUGCAAAGAAAAGCAUGAAGUGCUUUAUUUCAAGCUUGUCGCUACCAUACAAGAAUGAAGAGUUGAUUGUUCUCCUGAUGCAGAUUUUGAUUCUCUCGCACUGUAAGACUUGAGGUUUUUUCCGAUCAGGGGGGAGAAUAAUGUAGAAUAGGAAGUUUAGAAUUUUAU
rnacentral:misc_RNA from 1 species